rnacentral:sRNA from 1 species
CGGUUUCGAUCUGUUGAGGACAGAUAAAAUGAAUAUGAGUGUCAAUGGCUCCGGCGGUGACAAUGCGCCCCUCUCCGGCAAUGAUUUCUGUGCCUGGACCAAUAAUAAUAUUGACGUUACUUUGUGUAUAGGGAUUACCCGCUUUACCAAUUUUGAAAAUUUUGCCGCCUUUAAUACCGAUAUCAGCUUUAACAAUACCCCACCAGUCGAGAAUUAAGGCAUUUGUAAUCACUGUAUCGACGGCGGUAUCUGGACCGUCACCAUUAACGAUAGGAGAUUGUCCCAUCCCAUCACGG